rnacentral:rRNA from 1 species
UCCAGGCCCUACGGGGUGCAGCAGGCGCGAAACCUCCGCAAUGUGAGAAAUCGCGACGGGGGGAUCCCAAGUGCCAUUCUUAACGGGAUGGCUUUUCAUUAGUGUAAAGAGCUUUUGGAAUAAGAGCUGGGCAAGACCGGUGCCAGCCGCCGCGGUAACACCGGCAGCUCUAGUGGUAGCAGUUUUUAUUGGGCCUAAAGCGUCCGUAGCCGGUUUAAUAAGUCUCUGGUGAAAUCCUGCAGCUUAACUGUGGGAAUUGCUGGAGAUACUAUUAGACUUGAGAUCGGGAGAGGUUAGAGGUACUCCCAGGGUAGAGGUGAAAUUCUGUAAUCCUGGGAGGACCGCCUGUUGCGAAGGCGUCUGACUGGAACGAUUCUGACGGUGAGGGACGAAAGCUAGGGGCGCGAACCGGAUUAGAUACCCGGGUAGUCCUAGCUGUAAACGAUGCGGACUUGGUGUUGGGGUGGCUUUGAGCUGUCCCAGUGCCGAAGGGAAGCUGUUAAGUCCGCCGCCUGGGAAGUACGGUCGCAAGACUGAAACUUAAAGGAAUUGGCGGGGGAGUACCACAACGCGUGGAGCCUGCGGUUUAAUUGGAGUCAACGCCGG